ACCAGACUCCUACGGGAGGCAGCAGUGAGGAAUAUUGGUCAAUGGCCGGAAGGCUGAGCCAGCCAAGCCGCGUGAAGGACGAAGGUGCCAAGCAUUGUAAACUUCUUUUGUCAAGGGACAAAAUCAGGCUCGAGAGCCUGACCGAGGGUACUUGAAGAAAAAGCAUCGGCUAACUCCGUGCCAGCAGCCGCGGUAAUACGGAGGAUGCGAGCGUUAUCCGGAUUUAUUGGGUUUAAAGGGUGCGUAGGCGGAGUGUAAGGUGAGGGGUAAAGGCCGGGGGCCCACCCCGGGGGAGCCGUUGAAACUGGCUGUCUUGAGAUGUCGAGAGGUAUGCGGAAUGCGCAGUGUAGCGGUGAAAUGCUUAGAUAUUGCGCAGAACUCCGAUUGCGAAGGCAGCAUACCGGCGGCGAUCUGACGCUGAGGCACGAAAGCGUGGGUAUCGAACAGGAUUAGAUACCCCUGUAC
rnacentral:rRNA from 1 species